CAUCUGGGCGUGAGGGACCGGCGGGAGCCGCGAUUGGGCAGCAGGUGGCAGGAGAGCUCCAGAAAUCCCUGCUGCGCUCCGCUGCUACCCGCUGCUGCAAGCACCUCGCGGGGAGGAGGGAGCGGGGCUGCGGCUGAGAAGGAGGCUUUGGGACGGGCAUCCUCCUCCGCGCUGCUCUUGGGAAAGAUCUUCUGGGAGUGCAAGUUUGGGAAAGGGAAUGAAGAUGGUUUUGGUAUAAAGUGAGGCUUUUGGGGGUUUGUGAAUGGGGAUUUUAACAGGCACGGCCCAUUGUCUACUGUGCCUUCAUUUAGGGAAUGAAUAUGCAGGGAGACAAGGGCAAGGAUGCUGGGUGCUGCCUGGCCCUUCUCAGACCUCAGUAUUGACAGAGAGAAUAAUUAACCAUUUAUUAUGCUCUUACAUAUGUUUUGCCUCAAGGACAUGGAAUCUCUUAUUAAUUACAUACAUUGCUUGUUCUUAUUUCCUGAGUGGGUGACUGAAAAAGGAAAUUAAAUUGUGCAGAACUGCAUGUAUUACUGGUAGCACAGAAAAAGAGCACUCUCUGCAUGGGGAGCCCAAACUCUUAAGGGCCUGUGUUGCUUAAAGGUAACUAAUGAUUCCUAGCUGUGAUAAAAGUCUGAGGAUUUAGGAGACGAGGUUGGCAGGGAGAGGUAAUAAGCUCUAGGAGAUUAGCUCUUAAAACUGGAAAUGAAGACAGCCUCUUGGGCUCACAGGUACUUCUAUUCCAUACAGGGGGUCUAUAAGCAUAGCUUUCCGUUACUUGUACUAUGGGAGGAGUCAUGUUUGCACCUGCUGUGGUUUAACCCUGGCAGGCAGCUUCGCACUACGCUGCUUGUUCACGCACUCCCUGCAGUGGGAUGGGAAGUAAUCCAAGAACUUGUGGGUUGAGAUACAGACAGUUUGUUAGGUAAAGCAAUUCUGUGCGCACAAGCAAAGAUAAACAAGGAAUUCAUUUACUGCUCCCCAUCAUCAGGCAGUUCAGCCAUCACAUCUCUUGGGAAGAUGAAUGCCAUCCCUCUGAACAUCAGCCCCCUCCUUGUCCUUUCUCCCAGCUUUUAUUGUUGAGCACAAUGUCCUGUGGCAUGGGAUGUCCCUUUGGGCAGUCUGGGUCAGCUGUCCUGGCUGUGACCCAGCUGUUAGGAACCCCCAGCUCCUUGCUGGCAGGGCAGUUUGACUAAUGCAGAAGUCCUUGAUGCUGUGCAAGCACUGCUCAGCAGCAACCAAAACAUCAGUAUGCUAUCAACACUGUUUUCCUUACAGGGCUACUCAAGCUGCUGCAGAGAAAAAUAACUCUUUUUUUUCCAGGCAAAACUAGUACAGGACCACAUCUUUUUAAAAGACAUCUAUUUUCUGUGCUCUUAAUACUGCACCAUCACUACUUACACUGGUGUAACUUGCACAGAGACCUGCUUUGCUGCCGUGGAAAGUAGGGGCUCCUGAGUUUCACCAGCUAAUUUGGGGUGUUCCUGCAGAUCUCCACCUUCACUGCAUGCCUUACCUAACUCAGUGUGUACUUAUACACCUCAUAAAGCUGUUGUCCAGACCCUGGGCUCUGCCCUUCAAAAAGUGUUGCACAUUGCAAGGCCUGAAGGUGACUUCAAGCCUUUGUCCUUCAUCCUGUAUUCAGUUUGGGUUCCCCUCAUGAAGGAAGGAUUGAAAGUAUGGUUAUAUUUUCCUGUCUGUUGGGAUUUUCUAAAUAUCCACUGUUAAAGUUUUAUACCUGUAAUGUUGUCAUCCAUUUGGAUGUGGAUUUAUAUUACCAGGGAGCUGGUUUUGCUUUUUGUAGAUUCAUUAAACUGACCAAGGAGAGAAAAGGGAGAGAAAGCACUUAUGUCAUCCAGUACUAAAAUAUGACAACUGGAUAUUUUUAUUUGAAGAAACUUCGCGGUUCUCUUAUGGCUCCCACUCAGUGGUCUUCAAAGUCAACAGCACUCUUUGGAUCAAGCUCUGUGGUCAUUAUAAACUUUUAAAAAGACACUCUACGCAUAAUGUAAUCUGGAUUAGGAACUCUAUUUUUCCUGGCCAACGUGCUGACUGUGUCUCCUCAUAACAUUAAGAAAGGCAUAUGGCAAGAGAGGAAAGAACUGCAAAAGCAGCCUCCCUGUUUCGUGCUAGGAGUUAUGAUGUUUGGAGACUACACAUACAAACAGCAAGCUCCUCAUGAAGCCUACCACUGCCUCUGCUAGCUGUGGGGAAAAUCAGAGGCCAGAAGUUGAUUCUAUUUUUGUCCAAACAGCAUGUGGAAAGGAAAAUAAUGUUCCCUGUGAGAACAUGCUGCUUCUGAAUCCUCCUGAGCCUGCCAGCUGACUAAGGAAAGAACUACAAGGGCCUAUCAGAGGCACACCUACUGCUGACUGAAGGACAGCGCUUCCUGACCAGAGACAGUUAAUCAUCAACAGCUCUAUGAGGCAUCUCAUUUUGUGUGCUGAACCACAUCGAGCACUGGAGCCACUUUUCCAAUGACAGAAACACUCUGUUCUGCUGGCCAGCGCUGCCUGUGCACAUGGGGACUUGAAGUACCCUGCAGGACGCAGCCCUAAAGGCACCAGGGAAAAAGACUGAGGCAUGUGUGCUACGACAGUGGUGCCAAAUUUCUUCCCUGUGGCAUGGCCCAGGCUAAAGCUUAACCCUCAGCUCCUCCAUGCUCGCUGCUCAGCAGGGGACAAGGGGACAGACUGCUGUAGUCAGCAUGAUCAGUCCUCAGCUGUGAACUGAUCAAGCAGACAGGCAGUAACAGAGACAAGAUUUGUCCACCUUUGUGACGGGAAGGAAUCUGUACAGGAAAACCAUCACUGGCUGGAAUCAGCCAGAUAUGGGUGGGACUCAGGCAGAGGGAAUGCUUGUACAGAAGGAUGAUAACGGCUCCACAGUCACUGUUCUUGUAUCAAGGCCUUCCCAAAAAAUGCCACUAUAAAGGCAGUUUUCAAAUAGAAAGCCCUUCUGUCCACCCCCCAGUUUAGCAAACCUCCAAGAUAUGAGAUGGCAGAGAUCCUCUAUAAGCAGCCUUUGUCAAAGCCCCAGCAGGGUAGUGACAGAACACACAGCUUGUGGCUUUGCUUUGUAGGCUCAGGAUCCACCCAGUGGGCCUCAACUAUGUUUUAUGUGUGUUCUCAAUUAGCAGCCUACCAAAUGGCUAAGAAAGGACAUUUUGAUCUUCAGCCCAGCAAGCUAAUGCAACACCUUUCUUCUUGAAAGUAAAUCAAAUUAAUGUGUGUAAUUUUGGCCACAUGCAGUUUGUAGAACAAAGGAAGUAAUGGAAAACAUCUUCUAACCACCACACAUGUUUUAUUCCACAUACUUGUGACUACAGCAUAGAAAUUUGUCUUCCUGUUAUCGCAUUCAUUUCAUUUCCACUGGACUUAUGUAAAC